rnacentral:rRNA from 1 species
UACAGAGGUCUCAAGCGUUGUUCGGAUUCAUUGGGCGUAAAGGGUGCGUAGGCGGCGCGGUAAGUCGGGUGUGAAAUCUCGGAGCUUAACUCCGAAACUGCAUUCGAUACUGCCGUGCUUGAGGACUGGAGAGGAGACUGGAAUUUACGGUGUAGCGGUGAAAUGCGUAGAUAUCGUAAGGAAGACCAGUGGCGAAGGCGAGUCCCUGGACAGGUCCUGACGCUGAGGCACGAAAGCUAGGGGAGCAAACAGG